UGGGUCUAGAACAUGGAUCCACUCUCUUCCCACAAUCUGCAGAGCAAGUUUCAGGCAGGGCUGAUACUGCCUGCUGCGCAAGGGUGAGAACGGUAAGCAAGGGAUGCCCGGUGCUCCUGGAUGUUGCUUCUGUAGCAGGGACUAUAGGCGCAUGCCACCAUGCCCAACUAAUUUUUUUAUUUUUGUAUUUUUUGUAGAGACGGGGGUGUUACUACAUUGGCCAGGCUGGUCUCGAACUCCUGGCCUCAAGCAAUCCUCCUGCCUUGGCCUCCCAAAGUACUGGGAUUGCAGGCAUGAGCUACCCUCCUCUAGUAUUUCUGUAGCUUGAGUGAACUUCUGCUGUUCUAGGUACCCACAGUUCACCAUCUGCCUCCCCACCUGUCUGCGAGACCCUUGAAGGCAGG
rnacentral:lncRNA from 1 species